rnacentral:lncRNA from 1 species
UUGGAUCUUUGUGAAAAUACUUGCAGGAAACAAUUUCAGGUCCUUGUCUUUGCAUUCAAACCUCCUGCCCCAGUAGUUGUGGUUUUUUUGAGUGUUAAUUGACAAUAAAUAUCCUGGAGGUGAAUAGUCUUCUUGCAAUAGUGUUGGCAUUAUCAACUCUUUGGGCAAGUUAUGCCAAUUCCCAUCCCAUGUUUCAUCCCAAGGCAAUAUCACUCCCAUCUCAUGGAGCACUCCAAGAAUGUACUCCACUAUUUUGUCUUGCUUCCCACAUUGUUGCUUCAACUGAUGUUUAACUUUGUGUGUUUCCAUUUUACUUUUGAGUUUGCUUGUCUCAGUAUGUAUGAAGAGUUGCACCACAUCCCUCAUAAACCAUUGGACAUCUAAGAUGACAAAUUGAGACACAAUGUCGUCCUCUUCAUGUCCCAAGCCAAAGUAAAUUGCAUCACCAGAAUCAUGUAGAAAUUGCAAGACAAAUUUGAGAACAUUCUCGGAACUCCUGUGAGGCAAGAGGAUUUCGCCAACUUUGUCUAGGGGUAUGACCUUCUUGUGACUUGCACCUUGUACCAGUUUCCUCUUUGCUUCAAGACAUUCCUGUGGUAUUUGUUGCUGGUUUGACAGCAGUUCGUCCAAGCAACUCCCCAACAUGGUUUUUAUCUCCCUUAAAGCUUUCACUUGAGUGGCCACCACCUCAAAACAAAGAUCUGUCCCAAACUCAAGUACUUGCCCAUAGCCUUUGUCGGAGAUUAUUGCAGAAACCACCUCCUUUGGGUCAAAGUCGGGUUCUGGAGUGAAAAAGUUCAAGGCAAUCAAGACCCUGGGCUUCCUUUUGGGUGAGGCUGAUUGAUGUGAAGCGAUGAACCUCAGCCAGUAAACCAAAUUCUGCUUGAAAACGUCACAAUUGUCAUCCUCCACCUUGCAUACGAUCAAGAAGAGAUCCUUCUCACUUCCUCUGAGAAAGUACUGGUGGAAAGCAUGGAACUCUUCCUGUCCAGCCAGGUCGCAAAUGAGCAGCUUUUGUUUGGUGGUCGCAAAGACAAGUGGUUGCAGCUCAAUGCCUGCUGUUGAAGCAUGCCUUUGGAGACAUGAUGGAAACCAAGACACUCUGCGGCAGAGGUUUUUUUUUAUUGUGGUCUUUCCAACCCUGCUAGCACCACACAAGAAGAGCUUUGCUGUUGACGGGUUGUCAAAGUCUUUGAAUGCACUCUGCUGGAAGAUUGCAUUCCGCUCUAAAAGACCAGAACACCUCUGCUUGAAAGCUUCAGAAGCUUCGGAAUCAUCACCUAGCUCAAGCACUUCCACGAGGCUUUGGUAGUUUUCCUCCAGGGCAGCCAGAAUUUGUCUUUUCUGUGCAUCACUAUCAAGAAAACGAGCCCUGAAUCUGCGCACCUUGCAUUUUGGAUCCCCCAGCAACUGGCAAAGCUCUUCCAGGUUUUCAAAUUUUCGCUCAGAUAUUUUCAAGUCUUCAAUGCUGCUUCCCAAAAGGCACCUCCAUGGCAGCUCCGACUCACAUGACAAAGCUUUCAGAGACUUGCAGCUGGUGAUAGCUUUCCAAAAGAGCUCCCCAUUCGUGAUUUUGCACUCCGAUAUACGCAAAUGCUCCAGUUGGCUCUUCUCUAUGCCCUCGGCAAACUCCAACGUUAACUCAUCGUCUUGUCCCGUGCUACCGCAUAUUCCCAAAUGGCGCAGCUUACAAUGUGGACUUGAGAGAGCUGACCACAGACUGCUGUCCCAGACCACUCCUCCUCCCUUUCUAAGGGUCAGAGGAAGCUGGCGGUGUCGCCUAUGCGAAUAAAGAUGAAGCUUGAUCAGCUUGCAAUUGCCCAACCAUCCACCACCAUCACCUGGAUAAAGUGUAACGCUGAGUUCCUCCAAGCCACACUUAGCGCUGCUCAGGGCCUCACCCAGGCCGGUUGCAUUGCUCAGGUCCAUAUAUUGGCAACCUAAAACUGACAGGCUGGUGCCCUCCUGAAGAGCCUUGCAUACCCAUGGCAACACUCCAGGAUCACUAAUAAGUAGGUUUAGUCUAAGCGAGUCCAAGCUGUUCGUGAGUGCCUUGAAGCGUGAUAGUCUUAUCAGUGGAAGGUUUGCUCCCACAAAUAGGUAUAGUCUUUGCAGUGAACAGUUUGGACUCGUGAGUGCCUUGAAGAGUGCUUCACCUGCCCCCUCUGGAAACGAUGCCCUCAGUUCUACUAGCUUAUUGCAAAUGCCAUUCUGAAAUGCCUGUUCCCACCCUUCCUUGCCAAUGUCCGUAUCGAUGAUGGAUAACUCUUCCACCUUGCACUCCUGACUUGCCAGAUCCCUACUCAAUUUCCCAAAUCCUUCCACUGUCAUCCUNNNNNNNNNNNNNNNNNNNNNNNNNNNNNNNNNNNNNNNNNNNNNNNNNNNNNNNNNNNNNNNNNNNNNNNNNNNNNNNNNNNNNNNNNNNNNNNNNNNNNNNNNNNNNNNNNNNNNNNNNNNNNNNNNNNNNNNNNNNNNNNNNNNNNNNNNNNNNNNNNNNNNNNNNNNNNNNNNNNNNNNNNNNNNNNNNNNNNNNNNNNNNUCUGUCAUCGUCAGUAGCUUUGCAAACCUCUGCAUCUCAAUCUGCCAAAUAUCCUGUCCCUGCUGAGGAGGAGCAAUGCCCUCUGCCACCCUUUGCAUUCGAUCACUGGGAAUGCCCAACCUACAAGCGACCCUGGCAGCGAAGUGGAUGAAUCUGAUGUCGAGCUGUGGUACCAAAGCGGCCUUGAGAAUGUCAAUGUGAGCAGCAGACGAACUGCCAUCACCAGCGCCCUGUCUAAACUGGGUGGAUGUGAAAUGCACCAGUUGAGCACACCAAGCAGAUCCUCCUCUGUGCCUCCAAACCUGUCGACGGUAGCACUCACCUCAUCAACAAACUCACCUUUGGAUGAGCGAAGCGCCUCCAGCUUCCCACAAUAAAACCGAAUCGCAUUGAAGUGCCGCUUGUUGUCCCGCUUCGCUGCGAGAGUCUCCUUGAUCUCCUUGACAGAAUGACAGGCGAUCCACUCUCGUCGCUCCUCCUCCAUGGAAGUUUGCCCUGGAUCGAAGGGGCAGUGGAGAGCACGAGUAAACUUGUAAAAGUGAACCUUGCCAGCAGUGGAAGCAAAGCACUAAAGAAAGUAUGCCAGCUGUGGAAGAAAAGCAAAGCAUAUGCCAGCUGUGGAAGCAAAGCACUAAGAAAGUGGAAGCAAAGCAUAUGCCAGCUGUGGAAGCAAAGCCAUCGUACAAGCGGACAGUACAAGCAAGAGUUAAUUUAGGUUUUAGGGUUCUUCGAGCAAGACGGCCAAGGCGGCGGAGAAGCGAGCUCAUCGCGACGAGAAGAAGGUGUGGGACGAGGAUGAUAUGGAUGCGAUCUUGGUAAGCAAAGCUCUGGCCAAAGACUCUCAAUCGUUUUCCUUCUUGUCAGGCUAAACUCCACGAGGAGAAAGCAAAGAAGAGCGAAAUUCAUGUCGAUGAGAAUGUAGCAGCUCCUUCACCACAAUGCAAUUGCUCUGUGCGUAAGAACUCGAUUGAAAUCUCCACUCUGGAAGCUCACAUUCUCUAGAAUUCUUCUUUCCUUGCGUUUCAGGUGACUGUAAAUCCCGUCAAGGACACUGCGCUGAUCGUCCAUGGAGGUGAAUACCAACAAUGGUGACAAGGUUUGUGGUUAGUUUCGCUACGGUGAUUUGAUCUUCGUGUUUGCUAUGCUAGACUUUACGUUUAUGGUGAUGAUCUCGACCAAGACAACAUCGAGAAGAACGAGUGGAAGCCUGUCACCAGUCCAAACUCUCCUCCCCGAGAAGCGCUCACCAGGGGGUUGCGUGGAAAAACUGGCUCUUCAGUUUUGGUAUGAUGUAUUUUUCCAGGACUUCUCUUGAUUUUGGCAGUGUAGGUGGUGAAUUCGGUUUCAUCACUAUAAGGUGUGUUUCUAGCUGACUUACAAGAGAGUUCUUGCAGGAUUUAUGGAGACUGGAUUUAAACACAAAUGUGUGGCGGGAGCAGCUCCAACUAAAAGGCUGUCCAGGUGCUCGUUCCGGACAUAGAUUUGUAUGUAUUGCGCUUCUAAACAUAAUCUUUAUUUUUUUCUUUCUUGCCACAGAAACAUAAACUUAUUCUAUUUGGUGGAUUUUAUGACACGCUGAGGGAAGUAAGGUCGGCUGUUUCUGCAGUGUAGAUGUUUAAUAUUGAAUUUUUGACACAGGUACUUCAAUAAUCUUUAAGUGCUGGAUUUAGACGAUUAUAAGGUUUGUUUCUGUUUCCUUGUUUUUUAACAACUAAACUGAUUUCCUUUUGCAGUGGCAAGAGAUAAAACCCAAGCUUGGAGCUGCCUGGCCUUCAGCUGGAACUGGUUCUCAGCUUGCUGUUUAUUUAGAUGAGGUAUUUGUCUACUAAAAGUAUAGUUUUGCGUGUUGUGAACAUUUUUUCUUUUCUAGAUUUUCUUGUACGGUGGCUAUUUCAAAGAGCCUGCCCCUGACAAAGAUCAAUCCGACAAAGGUGUAGUGCUCGCAGAUAUGUGGACGUUAGAUCCACGGAUUGGGAGUGGGACAAGGUUUGCUUGUUUUACAUUCUCGUAUGGAGUUUUAGUUUUUCAAUGUGUUUUGUGAAGGUGAAAAAAUCCGGUAUGGCUCCUGGCCAAGAGCAGGAUUUUUGUCCACAUCUUGUUUGGUGGUGUAGUUGAUGCUGAUGAGUACGGUUUCAAUGCAUGCGUUGGAAAAACUAAUGGCUUUUGCAGGUGAUUCCCUGCACAGCGUUUUUAUGAUCGAGAUGUAUAUGCUUUCCAGAUGGUUUGUAUCUCGUCGAUUUUUUUAAAAUUAUCUAAACACCAUCGCUCGCAGGUAUCCUUUGGAGCUUCUCAAGCCAAAGAGCCUAAAGAUUAAGGUAUGGUAAUCUGAGAUUGUGUAGUGGUUAAGUGUGCAUCCAAAGCAGAAGAAAGUGGUUGAUCCAAAUGUGGAAAAUGCGUCUCAACGUUGAGCGUUCUGCUUGAAGGUUGUUGCCUUGUGGAAGAAUGAAUGCUGGAAUGGUCGUUGGAAAGGAUACUUUGUUUCUGUAUGGAGGUAUGAAAGAAGUCGGCAAAAAAAAAGUGACACGACGACCUUUCCUCGCUGGACCUUCGAUGUGUGGAAGUGCAUUAUUGAGGUUAGUAUGAUCGAGCCAUCAUCCAGCCUCAUACUAAUGUCUCAAGCAGGAAACACAAAGCGCGUGGAUAGAAGCUAGUAAGGAGAAAGGCGAAACUGAUGGUGACAACAGUGAUGCUGGAUCGAUUAAUAAAGGAAAAGACGAAGAGGACGACGACGAGGUAGUAAAAAAGAAGGAUGUAAGAAAACUUGUCGGCUUCCUUUUGUAGGAUGCAGUGGAGUCACUGUGAAGAGGCAGCUGCUAUUCUUAGGGGCGAAGGCAGAAAGCUGACACAGAAAGCACGGAAAUUAAAGAUCGAUCCGGCUGGGCAUGGCUGAUUCCCAACAAACACUUUUGGUGAGUGCUGAUAGUAGUUCAUCUUCCUGUUUUGUUAUUGAUUUGUCUUUCAGCCUGGAGAAACGCUGAGAGAAUUUUUCUCUUGGACGAUCAUGUAUUGGCAAAUGGCACCUUACGAUCACACCCAACACACUGGAAAGGUGACAACGCAGGUUUUCUUUCGCUCGUUCUUCAUGCUCUAUGCACCUCUCAGGAGCUCAGGAAGGAUGGAUUUGACUUGGCAAAGACACGCUACAGAGAACUUAAACCCAGCUUAAGCUCACUGGCUUGCCCUUCUCGGGGAUGAAGUCGAUGGAUCACUGCCCGAUCACUCCACCACUUCUUGUCGACUGGAAAAGUCUUUAAAUUCCUCUCGCUGACACGGCAUUAGCCUGAGAUCAAGGCCGCGGAUCAUCCAGCAAAGUCUAAGCUUUUUGCCAAGGAUGUGACGAGCUAACGUGUUGUCCAGAGCGCUUACAGGUUCCAUUGUUUUUUCCAUGACAAUUCUUUUUCCUCUGGCGACCGGCACGAAAGUCGUCCGAAGCAACCCAAACUGGAAACAAGAUACAUGCCCAGUUUCUCGGACAGAUUUCCUCAAGCCCGGCAGCACACGGAAGACGAAGAAAUUCGUUAAAAAAUCCACGAGCAAGCAGCAAGAGAGAGAGAGAGAGAGAGAGAGAGAGAGAGAGAGAGAGAGAGACAUAAAGAACUUUGCCAAGCCCAAAGUCGUUGAUGUUAAGCUAGGCCGUGCUUGAAGCGCGUGAUGAUGAUCAUGAAAGUUCCUGUCGAGAUGCUCGGUGGAUUCUCCGUGUCUCCAGCUAGAGACUUAUCGAUCAAUCCACAGUGUGCGGCAGCCGUCGUUUCGCUCGAUCGCUCCCUCGUUUGCAAAAGCUCGGACUUGACGAUCCUUCUCUUUCUGCCAUGGAUUCCUCCAUGAAGAGACCACCGAGCCAAGUUGCGAGAUUGAGGUUAAGCUGUAGUGAUCUUACGGACAUCCUCUUUUUGGAUUGCUUCCUUUUUUACUCCGCAUAUCGUAUCGACACUGUUGUAGAAGAAACAAACGAGUUUUGGAGGUAGCAACUUCCCUUCCAUUUGAUUGAUACAUGAAGAACAAGACAUCGCUUGCAAGUGGAAGAUCACACGGGAGAUGUUUGGAGUCAAACUGGAACUUUCGUGAUUGUUACGAGCACCUCCCCUGAAUCCAGCACCACACUAUCUAUCUGGUAAUGUUUCAAAACGAGUAAACUAAUCAGUGUUUGGGAAUGAAUGUUUGUGCUGCUUGGCCAGUUGCACUGCGGCAGCAGAGGAGGAUGUUUUGCGGCAACUAUACCCGACUAAAUCGAAGUACUUUAAUUGCAAUUUGUAAGAUCACAAGUACUAGUCCUGAAGAAAAACAGCGAGAUGUGCUUAUAAUCAAGGCAUUCUUGCAACGCAAGUGGAAAUUCACUGUGUUUACCUGGGCUUUCCGAGGAUGCUUCAUCUGAAUCGCAUAGUGUCACCCUGCCAUGAAAAAGACAAGAGAAAAAUUCUUACUCACUAGAGUUUGGCAAUUUUACUCUAGUUACUACAAUUUUUCCAUUGUUGAUACUCACUGUAGUUUCAUUCAACUCCACACUUUUUUACUUGAUUAGAGAUGUAAAGUUUUGUGUCAUGUUCUAGAAUUUUGUCUAUAGUUACAAAACCACAAGCUUAUCCAUAAAUGGAUUGAUAUUACUAUAAACAAUUAAAGAAAACAACUUGAAAGAUGUCAAAUAUAGAGGGAAAGGGCUCAUGAAUAAAAAUACAUCUUAUUUUCCAAAUGCACUUAUUUUUCCAAUCGGUUAAAGGUCUUGGGAUAUUUGGGGUUAAAUGUCUCUCGGUUAGGUAAUUUCCCGGGAAUUUCAAAUUUAAGAGUUUAUAAUUACUUCAAUGCAAAGGUAUAAUUUCAACUUCUUUCUCUUCCUUUCAGCUUCUUUUCUUUGUUUUUCAAUAUGUAGUGAGUGAAAUGCUUUCACUCGUAAGUUUUUCAUAGAUGAGUGAAUAAAACUUGAUUAACUCUUAUAACCUAUUUUUCCAAAGUUACAUUUAAGAUGGCUAAGUGAGCAGUGUGAUGUGCUUUUACAACCAAGUGAAUAGUUUCUUAACUUGUGCUAAUCAAAAUUUGCUCACAGAUAUAAUAUAAAAUAGGUGGGGAUGCAAUAAAUUUAUUCAUUUCUCUCCUUGAGAAAAAUCAUUCUUUUACUUCUUGUUAAAUAUAUAGUUUCUGAUUAUGAUGUUCUUUCACUUUUUUUGAAGGGUGCAACAUAUACUCCCUUAGUCAAAGAUGCAGUUGUUGAUUCCAUGUUAUAGGUAAAAAUUUGAUAAUUAGAAUUGUUGCAAGUUUCAAUAUUAAUUUUGGGACCAACUUCUAAAGUUUUACCAAGAUUAUUUUAAAUUAAUAAGUUCAAAACUCUUUCUUGACAAUCAUGAGAAGUCAACACUUCAAAUUGGAAAUAUCACCAAGGUUAACUUUAACCAUAUAAUAUCCAAUCUCAUUACAACCAAAAUGUGGCUUAGAUUAUUCAAUGGCAAUCUAAACACUUAACCAUAUUCAUCACUUGGAAAUGCAAUGAUAAAUAUCAACAGUUUGCUUUAGAUAUUGCUUUCCAAGGAAUUGUUCUCCUAAAAAACAAUGGCUUACUACUUUUAUUCACAAUCUUGAAAAUUGUGGCUCGUAUAGGAAACUAUAUAAAUACAACAUACAUGAUACUUGGAAACUACAAAUGUGAAAGAUAAGUUUUUUCUCAAAACUCUUUAGAUAUUAUUUAUGGUUUUUUUGGAGAAAUGUCAUACAAGUAUGUAUCACCUUUGCAAAACAUGCAAAUCUACAAUAAUAACAUUCUCUAUUUAUAGUACUUAUUUCGAGAAUGUAGUCUCAACUCAUUUCCAACAUUUCAAAUGCAACCACUUAUCUUAUUAUUCUUGUGAUCACUACUUUUUGUUGAUAUCUUGGCUUUCAAGGACAAUUUAUGAAUCUCAAGUGUUAUUUGGUUUGGAUAUUUUCGUUAGUCCAAAAGUGCUACUCUCACUCUUAUUACUUUUGGAGCAUAAAAUCCAAGUAUUCCUUCUCUUGCUUUUUUUUCUUUGUAAUACAAACAUUGAAUCUAAAAUUAAGUGGUCACUUGGUAAAUACUUAGUACCACAAGGCAUCCAUAAAUGUUUCCAUAUUGGAUAUGAAAAUGAAAUACAAUCCAUUGUUGAUAUUUAAGGAGAAGCUAUCAAUUUUACACAAGGUNNNNNNNNNNNNNNNNNNNNNNNNNNNNNNNNNNNNNNNNNNNNNNNNNNNNNNNNNNNNNNNNNNNNNNNNNNNNNNNNNNNNNNNNNNNNNNNNNNNNNNNNNNNNNNNNNNNNNNNNNNNNNNNNNNNNNNNNNNNNNNNNNNNNNNNNNNNNNNNNNNNNNNNNNNNNNNNNNNNNNNNNNNNNNNNNNNNNNNNNNNNNNNNNNNNNNNNNNNNNNNNNNNNAGAUUGUCCAACUGUAGAGAGCAACAAAAUGAACUAUAAAUUUAUAAUAAUAUUUUGCCCAAUCUCGACAAAACCAUUAAUAAAUCAAAGUUUUAGCCAAAUGUUCAUCUAUGCUUGAUAAUUUAACUCCACUCAAUCAAAACAUAAAGCCCUAAGUUGGACAAUGUAUUUUUUAUCAAGCUGGUCCUCUUUAACAAGUUCCAUAUAUAAAUAAUAUAGUGACUUUCUUCUUUUGUAAGUUAUUGUCUAAAAAGAGUUUAUUUCAAAUUCACUUAAAUCUUUAUCUUGAGAAAUUACUUAGCUUGGCAUAAAAUAUUAGCAACCCAAUACUAAAUACUAGCCUAAAAAUUUGAGAAAAACAUAUAAACUAGUAUAUUAGUGAUAAUUUGAAGCUUUUUCUUGCUAAUUUACAAGGUAUAAUAAAUGAUUGAGAUGUUGGUUCUCUAGACAAGGAUGAGAUAAAGAUUGGGAGUGAGCUUAUGCAAACAUCUCUAAGCCAAACUUCUUUAUUUGGCUCAUAAACUUGGUUGAGUUUACAAAGGUUUUGAUAAAGUUUAUUUUUGAAUUUUUGCAUGUCAUAAAUGCUUAUCAAGGCAAUGUAAAUAGGAGUAUACUAUAAUAAUGGCUUGUCAUUUUUGUUAUGGUAGUGGUGAUCGCAACUAUCACCAUGCUUUCGGCAUCUUUAUAAAUGAUUAAUUUUUUUUUACUUUAGGAUCAUCUAAAGGAGUCUCACUCAUAAUCUCUAUAAGCCCUGAUAUUAAUUUGGGUGUUUGUUAACUUUAAGAUGUGUUCUUGUAACCACAUCAACUUUGUACUUAGUCUAAAUGCUCUAUGUGUCCAAUUCCACUUUUGGAUACCUUUUAUGAAGUCCAAAUUUAAAAACUUAUAUUUGGUAUUAGAGAAAUCUAAGGUGUGAUUCUAUUAGUUGAUUAAAGAAAUCACACCACAUGUUAAAAUUGAUAUUUAAUAAGUUUAAUUUACUCCAAUUUCAACUCAAGGGGUAGGGUGUUAAAAGAGCGAGGCUCUUAGAAGAGCUGCAACUUUCAACUUCCAUUUAUGAAGGCAUGAACUUGCAAAAAAGCAUGAUGGAUUAUAAACAACCAAAGAUAAUAACUUAAAAAAUUAUUAAUAUUGUUUUAAAUAUAGAAAUGUACCUUUUGUUCCAAUUAGUUAUAAAUCUUAGGUUAUUUGAGAUUAAACAUCUUUAAAUAGUAUUGGGUUAGAUGACCUUCUAGAAAGCCUAAAUUCAUGAGAUUAUCGUGCCAUAAAUAAUAUAUGUUAAUGUUUGUAAAGAACCUAGCAAAAAAGAAAACAAUUUAAAAUUAAACAACCUUUUGAAAAUGAAAUAUUUACUAGAAUGUUCAAAAUAAGUAUUUAGAAAGCAUUUUCAUUAGAGCUACUCUCAAGUAACACUUGAUGUGUUUCAAAUGAUUUCAUAGUAAAAACUAUCUUUAUACUUCAUUUUUAAAAUAAUUAUAAGUUUUGUUUAAUACAUAUUUUGUAUUUUGUAAAAGAUGUCUACAGACACUCAAAAACCUUUUGCUAUUAAAUUAUUGUCAUUCAAGCACUUGCUUACAAUAGUUAAAGCACAAUACAGUGUUUGGUUUUAUGGGAUGGCAUAUAUAUGUAAUUAAGGAGAGUAAAAAAAUUUCUAUAUAGAGUUUAGUAAGUAAAUGGAAUUGUGAACAAUGAUAAUUUUCAUAAGUCUUUAAACUGUAGUUUGUAACAUAUUUUAGCUAAACAUUAAUUUAAAGAAUAAGUUGAAGUUGGUAAAGAUAAUAUAAAGUUAUCUCCUACAAUAUGUGAUGAUAAAUAACAAUUAAGCCACUUGUAUAUACUUUUGAAAUGCAUUACCUACGAGAGGUGGAUUAAUGUUAAUUAACUUCAUUCCUAGAAUUGUUUACCAAAUAUGCCAAAAUAAAAAAUGCCGCUAACAUGAAAUCAUCUGAGUAGCUUUUCUUUAAAGCAUUCAAUACUGAAACAUCAGAAUAAAUAUAAAAAUUAUUUUAGAGCAAUAUGCAAAGAUAACACAUCAACUUAUAUCUGGAAAUGUAGCAUAAUCAUAGUGAAAAUAACAUUCUGCCAUAGCUAUAACAAUAUAGAGGACAUUUGAUUUAUCAUUGCCUUGGUAAAUAGUCUCAAAAAUCAAUAUAAUCAAUGAUUUAUUUUAAAUGCCCUAUAUAGUCUUUGUUAAAUAAAACUAAAAUCAUAGAUAUAUUUCAAAGUAAAAUACCUUUGUAAAUCCAUACUAUUUUAUAAUCCAAGGUUAUAAGAUGGAUAUUAAAAUAUUUGGUCAUGAUUGUCUUUUGGUCAAUUUCUUUCACAAUUUUAGUUUUCAUAUCGAAAUGUCAUUAAUGUGAAAUCAUUUGAUGAGUUUUUCCUUCACUUUGAUUAUUAAAAAUUCAACACUGAAAUAAACUUGAAACAUUAGAAUAAACAUGAAAUAAUAUUUUAGAGCAAUAAUGUAAACUUACUUCAUCAACUUUUGUUACAAAAUAUAGCCCAAUCAUUCCAAAGACAUAUAGUAAUAAUUAUAUAAAGUAUGUUCAUUUAUCUUCAUCUUUCUAAACUAACUUGUAAAAAUAUAUAUUAAUGAUCUGCUUUAGAAUGGUGUUUGUUAGAUAAAACUAAAAACUUAAAUGUUAAAUACCUUUGCAGAUCCAUAUUUUUCUUUCAUCCAGGAUUAUGGGAUGAAGAGCAAAAUAUAUAAUUAAUGAUUUACUUUAAAUGCCCUACAUAGCCUUUGUUAGAUAAAACUAAAAGCAUGGAUAUAUUUCAAUAUAAAAUACCUUUGUAAAUAUAUAUUGUUUUAUCAUCCAAAUUAUGGGAUAAAAUAUAAAAUAUUUGGUACCUUUUCCUUCACUUAAAAUAUUAGAUAUUCAACACUGAAAUAAACUUGAAACAUUAAAAUAAACAGGAAAGAAUAAUUUGGAGUUAUAAUACAAACUUACCUCAUUAACUUCAGCUACAAAAUAGACUUGAAUCAUACCAAAGAUAUAUAGUAAUAACUAUAUAAAGCAUAUUUAUUUACCUUCGUUUUGCUAAACCACCUCAUAAAAAUAUAGAUUAAUGAUCUGCUUUAGAAUGGUGUUUGUUAAAUAAAAUAAAAAAUUUAAAUGCUAAAUACCUUUGCAAACCCAUAUUUGUUUUCCCUCCAAGAUUAUGGGAUGAAGAGCAAAAUAUUUUUCCAUGAUUGUCUCCUGUUUUUCUUUUUUCCCAAAUUUAGUUGUCACUAGCUUAAAUAUCUCUUGCACAUCUUCUGCUUUGGGAUUUGUAGUUAGCUUGCUUUUGAGAAGACAUGAAUCCAAAAAGCUUAUAAGCCUUCCCUUGGUUUCAUCCACGAUUGCAUUCACUAUCGGUCCAACACCAGCAAAAUGUCCUCCAACUUUGGCCCCAAUAAAUAAUAAGAUCAAUGUAUGUUUAAGUACUAGAGCAAAUUUCUUGAGCCAGUUUGGUGGGAGAUCCAAUUCAACACCUAUAGAACUCUUCACUUGAUGACCUUUAGAAGUUCCUUCAGGCCAUUCACACAAGUAGUGAAGUCUACCAUGUGUUCCCAGUAUUUUACUGUAAUUUUUCCACAUAUUAUUCUCAUCAAGAAUAUAUGGAUAUUUUGGGCAAUCUGUCUCCAAUUUCAAUAAUACUCGAAAACACGUUGUAUGGAUUGCAUUCACUUUAUCUAUGAUAGACUUGAGUCCAUUCUUGAGCUCGUUAACGCUUACUUCAAUGUCAUUAAGUUUUGUAUCCAACUUGUCAAAACGGUUCUCCAUUUUAUCAAACAUCUUCUUAAUAUAUCUAAAAAUUGCAUCGAGUUUUGGGUCUUCAAUGUUUGGAAACUCAACAACAUUUGAUGAUGCUUUGGGAANNNNNNNNNNNNNNNNNNNNNNNNNNNNNNNNNNNNNNNNNNNNNNNNNNNNNNNNNNNNNNNNNNNNNNNNNNNNNNNNNNNNNNNNNNNNNNNNNNNNNNNNNNNNNNNNNNNNNNNNNNNNNNNNNNNNNNNNNNNNNNNNNNNNNNNNNNNNNNNNNNNNNNNNNNNNNNNNNNNNNNNNNNNNNNNNNNNNNNNNNNNNNNNNNNNNNNNNNNNNNNNNNNNNNNNNNNNNNNNNNNNNNUCCCAUGAUUCUAAUUUGUCCACCUUAUUUAGUAUCCUUCUCCAUACAUAACCACGUCUCAUCACAUUUUCUUCAAUUUCCAAAGAUGGGCAAUCCUCCAUACAUACCCCAAUAAUGCAAUUUCUAAUUUUUUCCAUCCAUCCUUCAGCUUCCUUUUCCAAAUCCGGCCUUAGUGUAUUCUCUACCUCUUUUGGGUAGUAAAUGAUGACAUCAACCCAUUGCCUAUCUUUCCAAUUGUCUGUGUCUCCCCCAACUCUCACAAUUAUCUCGAUAAGGUUUUUUUUCAAAGCCACCCAUCCAUUCCCAAGCCUGAAACCUUUCUUGCUUAAUUUGUGAAGCUUAACUUGGAUCUUUGUGAAAAUACUUGCAGGAAACAAUUUCAGGUCCUUGUCUUUGCAUUCAAACCUCCUGCCCCAGUAGUUGUGGUUUUUUUGAGUGUUAAUUGACAAUAAAUAUCCUGGAGGUGAAUAGUCUUCUUGCAAUAGUGUUGGCAUUAUCAACUCUUUGGGCAAGUUAUGCCAAUUCCCAUCCCAUGUAUCAUCCCAAGGCAAUAUCACUCCCAUCUCAUGGAGCACUCCAAGAAUGUACUCCUCUAUUUUGUCUUGGUUCCCACAUUGUUGCUUCAACUGAUGUUUAACUCUAUGUGUUUCCAUUUUACUUUUGAGUUUGCUUGUCUCAGUAUGUAUGAAGAGUUGCACCACAUCCCUCAUAAACCAUUGGACAUCUAAGAUGACAAAUUGAGACACAAUGUCGUCCUCUUCAUGUCCCAAGCCAAAGUAAAUUGCAUCACCAGAAUCAUGUAGAAAUUGCAAGACAAAUUUGAGAACAUUCUCGGAACUCCUGUGAGGCAAGAGGAUUUCGCCAACUUUGUCUAGGGGUAUGACCUUCUUGUGACUUGCACCUUGUACCAGUUUCCUCUUUGCUUCAAGACAUUCCCGUGGUAUUUGUUGCUGGGAUGACAGCAGUUCGUCCAAGCAACUCCCCAACAUGGUUUUUAUCUCCCUUAAAGCUUUCACUUGAGUGGCCACCACCUCAAAACAAAUAUCUGUCCCAAACUCAAGUACUUGCCCAUAGCCUUUGUCUUUGUCGGAGAUUAUUGCAGAAACCACCUCCUUUGGGUCAAAGUCGGGUUCUAGAGUGAAAAAGUUCAAGGCAAUCAAGACCCUGGGCUUCCUUUUGGG